rnacentral:rRNA from 1 species
GAAUAUUAGUCAAUGAUUGAAAGAUUGAUCUAGUUACUUAGAGAGAUGAAGAUUAUAAAACUAAAGAAGGAGAAUAAGAAUGAAGAAUAUAAAAUCAAGGUAUAUAUUAGAAAGAAAGAAUGAUAAUAAUAUAUAAAGAAGUCUUAACAAAAAUUAGUGCCAGCAGUUGCGGCUAAACUAAGGAGGCGAACGUUAAUCAUUAAAGGCUUAAAGGAUCCGUAGAACGAUAUAAAUAAAUAUAAUAGAGUUAAAUAAGAAAAAGAAUGAAUAAUUAUUAUGAGAGAUGAAAUGUAAUGAUAAUAAUUAGACGGCCAAGAGUGAAAAUAGAAUUUGAUAUUUAACUGACGUUGAGGGAUGAAGGCAUGAGUAGUAAACCGGAUUAGAUACCCGAGUAAUUCAUGCAGUAAACGAUGAAUACUAAGAAAGAAAGCGAAGGCAAAGUAUUCCGCCAGGUAAGUAUAUUCGCAAGAAUGAAAUCCAAGACAAUAGACGGUUACAGGUGUAGGCAGUGGAUUGUGUUAUUUAAU